rnacentral:rRNA from 1 species
CCUACGGGAGGCAGCAGUGAGGAAUAUUGGUCAAUGGGCGGGAGCCUGAACCAGCCAAGUCGCGUGAGGGAAGACGGUCCUAUGGAUUGUAAACCUCUUUAGGCGGGGAGCAAUGCCGGGCACGCGUGCCCGGAGGGAGAGUACCCGCAGAAUAAGCAUCGGCUAACUCCGUGCCAGCAGCCGCGGUAAUACGGAGGAUCCGAGCGUUAUCCGGAUUUAUUGGGUUUAACGGGAGCGUAGAUGGGUUGUUAAGUCAGUUGGGAAAGUUUGCGGCUCAACCGUAAAAUUGCAAUUGAUACUGGCAGGCUUGAGUACAGUUGAGGUAGGCGGAAUUCGUGGUGUAGCGGUGAAAUGCUUAGAUAUCACGAAGAACUCCGAUUGCGAAGGCAGCUUACUAAACUGCCACUGACAUUGAUGCUCGAAAGUGUGGGUAUCAAACAGGAUUAGAUACCCUUGUAGUC